rnacentral:rRNA from 1 species
UACGUAGGGUGCAAGCGUUGUCCGGAAUUAUUGGGCGUAAAGAGCUCGUAGGCGGUCUGUCGCGUCGAUCGUGAAAACUUGGGGCUUAACCCUGAGCUUGCGGUCGAUACGGGCAUGACUGGAGUUCGGCAGGGGAGACUGGAAUUCCUGGUGUAGCGGUGAAAUGCGCAGAUAUCAGGAGGAACACCGGUGGCGAAGGCGGGUCUCUGGGCCGAUACUGACGCUGAGGAGCGAAGCGUGGGGAGCAAACAGG